CCUACGGGUGGCAGCAGUGGGGGAUAUUGGACAAUGGGGGAAACCCUGAUCCAGCGACGCCGCGUGAGUGAAGAAGUAUUUCGGUAUGUAAAGCUCUAUCAGCAGGGAAGAAAAUGACGGUACCUGAGUAAGAAGCCCCGGCUAACUACGUGCCAGCAGCCGCGGUAAUACGUAGGGGGCAAGCGUUAUCCGGAUUUACUGGGUGUAAAGGGAGCGUAGACGGCAGUGCAAGUCUGGAGUGAAAGGCGGGGGCUCAACCCCCGGACUGCUCUGGAAACUGUAAGGCUUGAGUGCAGGAGAGGUAAGUGGAAUUCCUAGUGUAGCGGUGAAAUGCGUAGAUAUUAGGAGGAACACCAGUGGCGAAGGCGGCUUACUGGACUGUAACUGACGUUGAGGCUCGAAAGCGUGGGGAGCAAACAGGAUUAGAUACCCCUGUAGUC
rnacentral:rRNA from 1 species